rnacentral:rRNA from 1 species
GAAUAUUGGACAAUGGGGGGAACCCUGAUCCAGCCAUGCCGCGUGUGUGAAGAAGGCCUUUUGGUUGUAAGGCACUUUACGCGAGGAGGAGGCUACUCUAGUUAAUACCCAGGGAUAGUGGACGUUACUCGCAGAAGAAGCACCGGCUAACUAGGUGCCAGCAGCCGCGGUAAUACAGAGGGUGCAAGCGUUAAUCGGAUUUACUGGGCGUAAAGCGCGCGUAGGUGGCCAAUUAAGUCAAAUGUGAAAGCCCCGAGCUUAACUUGGGAAUUGCAUUCGAUACUGGUUGGCUAGAGUAUGGGAGAGGAGGGUAGAAUUCCAGGUGUAGCGGUGAAAUGCGUAGAGAUCUGGAGGAAUACCGAUGGCGAAGGCAGCCAUCUGGCCUAAUACUGACACUGAGGUGCGAAAGCAUGGGGAGCAAACAG